GUGCCAGCCGCUGCGGUAAUACGUAGGGUGCGAGCGUUGUCCGGAAUUAUUGGGCGUAAAGAGCUCGUAGGCGGUUUGUCGCGUCGGCCGUGGAAUCUUCCCGCUUAACGGGGAGCUUGCGGUCGAUACGGGCAGACUUGAGUUCGGUAGGGGAGACUGGAAUUCCUGGUGUAGCGGUGAAAUGCGCAGAUAUCAGGAGGAACACCGGUGGCGAAGGCGGGUCUCUGGGCCGAUACUGACGCUGAGGAGCGAAAGCGUGGGAGCGAACAGGAUUAGAUACCCUGGUAGUCCACGCGUAGUAAACGUUGGGCGCGUAGGUGUGGGCUCUUUCGACGGUUCCGUGCCGUAGCUAACGC
rnacentral:rRNA from 1 species